rnacentral:rRNA from 1 species
UGGGGAAUUUUUCCGCAAUGGGCGAAAGCCUGACGGAGCAAUACCGCGUGAGGGAGGAAGGCUCUUGGGUUGUAAACCUCUUUUCUCAGGGAAGAACGCAAUGACGGUACCUGAGGAAUAAGCAUCGGCUAACUCCGUGCCAGCAGCCGCGGUAAUACGGAGGAUGCAAGCGUUAUCCGGAAUGAUUGGGCGUAAAGCGUCCGCAGGUGGCAAUGUAAGUCUGCUGUUAAAGAGUGAGGCUCAACCUCAUAAGAGCAGUGGAAACUACAUAGCUAGAGUACGUUCGGGGCAGAGGGAAUUCCUGGUGUAGCGGUGAAAUGCGUAGAGAUCAGGAAGAACACCGGUGGCGAAAGCGCUCUGCUAGGCCUGUACUGAC